rnacentral:rRNA from 1 species
CUGGCUCAGGAUGAACGCUGGCGGCGUGCUUAACACAUGCCAGUCGAACGAUGAAGCCCAGCUUGCUGGGUGGAUUAGUGGCGAACGGGUGAGUAACACGUGAGUAACCUGCCCCUUAACUCUGGGAUAAGCCUGGGAAACUGGGUCUAAUACCGGAUAGGAGCGUCCACCGCAUGGUGGGUGUUGGAAAGAUUUAUCGGUUUUGGAUGGACUCGCGGCCUAUCAGCUUGUUGGUGAGGUAAUGGCUCACCAAGGCGACGACGGGUAGCCGGCCUGAGAGGGUGACCGGCCACACUGGGACUGAGACACGGCCCAGACUCCUACGGGAGGCAGCAGUGGGGAAUAUUGCACAAUGGGCGAAAGCCUGAUGCAGCGACGCCGCGUGAGGGAUGACGGCCUUCGGGUUGUAAACCUCUUUCAGUAGGGAAGAAGCGAAAGUGACGGUACCUGCAGAAGAAGCACCGGCUAACUACGUGCCAGCAGCCGCGGUAAUACGUAGGGUGCGAGCGUUAUCCGGAAUUAUUGGGCGUAAAGAGCUCGUAGGCGGUUUGUCGCGUCUGUCGUGAAAGUCCGGGGCUUAACCCCGGAUCUGCGGUGGGUACGGGCAGACUAGAGUGCAGUAGGGGAGACUGGAAUUCCUGGUGUAGCGGUGGAAUGCGCAGAUAUCAGGAGGAACACCGAUGGCGAAGGCAGGUCUCUGGGCUGUAACUGACGCUGAGGAGCGAAAGCAUGGGGAGCGAACAGGAUUAGAUACCCUGGUAGUCCAUGCCGUAAACGUUGGGCACUAGGUGUGGGGACCAUUCCACGGUUUCCGCGCCGCAGCUAACGCAUUAAGUGCCCCGCCUGGGGAGUACG